UGGUAAGUAGUUUAAACAAAACAAAUGAUUUCGACUCAUUAAAUUAUGAUAACCAUACUAACCAA
rnacentral:tRNA from 19 species